rnacentral:lncRNA from 10 species
CUGGGAGUCACCAGACACUAUGAAGAGAUGCUGAUCAAAUUUGAAUUCCCACAUCAUAUUUAUGUAUCUCAAGUAUAUUUGACAAACAGAUGCUGUACUGUAUCUCAGAUGGAGAAACGGUGGAUACAGAUGGCCAGCUGUAAAUCUCUUUUCUUUCUAAAGUAUCUAAUCGGUCGUAUUCCAUUAUGGCAGCAGAAAAUGGACUAAGACAAGAUACAAUUUCCAAAAUCCAGACUGUACAAAACAUGGGACCAUCAACCUAGUUUAUCCAACAAAAAAUUGCAAGAAAAAAAAGAUAUGAGUGAACUAAGACUUAAAAAAAGGAAACCAAUUGCUACGUACAGAUCUUAUUUGGAUUCUGAUCCAACACAUCACAGAAAUGCAGAUAUGAGACACGGAAAUUUGAAUAUUGACUAAAUUUUAACAAUACUGAAAAAUUGUUGUUUUACAUGUGAUAUUAGUAUUAUUAUUUUUGGCAGUAAAUACUGAGAUAUUUGCAGAUUACACGUUAGGAAAUUAUGGAUUUGUUUCAAAAUAAGAAAGUAGCACGGGCUGGGGAGGGU